CCCAAUCAGGUUACAUGGGUUAUUAGACACUGGCCUGCGGAGACCACCCCCAGGCCUGGCUCCAAGGAUGGGUCCCAGUCACCCUAAUACUGGCAGGGUACACUUAGUCUUUUUCAUACCUUUCAUGGGGGUCAUUAAGAUCACUCUUUGUAUGUCCUCGUGUUUCAGAUCUGUUAACCAAGGGUCUGUGGUGGUGAAACAGGAGCUCAGUUUGUGGGUGAUGACAUCCCUGUCAUCAUCCCUUGGACACAAGCUGUGGGUAGUGACUGAAAGAAUAAGGUUGUGAGUACAGGUGGUGGAAAUGAGGUUCCACAGCAGGGUUGGUAGGCUUACUCCUUGGGAUAGGGUGAUGAUAAUCCUCGGAAUAGUCCCAAUGCUCAUUCGAAUGGAUAAGGGCCAGCUUAGGUGAUUUAGGCACCUUAAAAGGAUGCCCAAUAGUCGAUUCCUUCUGGAGUUGUAUCAGACAUGUUCCACUUGACAGAGACCUCGGGGCAGACCCAGAAUCUGCUGGAGAGAUUAAAUCUCCCAGUUGGAUUGAGAACGUCUGGGGAUCUCUCAGGAAGAGCCGGAAUCUGUGGCUGUGGAUAGAUAAGUCUGGGCUGCUGUCACAGCAACCGCCACCUGGAAAACCAGAUAGAAUGAAAUGAAUGAGUGUUGUAGGUCAGGUGCUGCAUGAUGAGUGAUGUUUGCCAUUUGAAAGCAUGAAACGUCUCCACUAGGCUCUAGCAAGUAAGUAAGUUCUUUAUUUGUAUGAGAGCCACAGCCUCCUUAAAUAAUUUUUUUUUAAAACUAUAUUUGGCUUCAAAUGGCUUACCAGAAAUCUAUGAGACUUGACUUGCCAAGCUAACACUCACCGUUUUUUCACUAUAAAGUGUGUGUAGGACGUUUAAGGGACUGGACUUUUGUGUGGGUGUUGUGUGCACCACUUUUUAUAGAUAUUGCCUGUCUCUGCUCAUCUUCUGGUACGGUAGUGUUUGUAAUCAGAAGGGUGUGGGGGCGAAACACCAUGUUAACAGGUAUGUGUCAUUCAUCCAUGCUACACGUCUUUAAAACAAAGCUCAUUCUGCUUUAUGUAAUGGCACUUGGUAUAGUAGAUGAUAUUGAUGGCACAAGGCAAAAUGUGUUCGAAUGGGAAUACAUUAUAAUGUUGUGUGUAUGCAUGCAUUGUGCCAUGGCCAGGUUUUUGUGCAGGCAUGUGCAAGUGUGUGAGAGCGAGAGAGCAGGUGUGAGUUCACGGGGUUGUCCAUAGGGGGAUUUCUGGAGACCUUCAGGAUGAGUCCCACCUGGAGGGACGUGAACGAGUGCCAUGAGCUUAGUUUAGUUCAUCUAAAUUUAGUUUUGGCCCUCACUCCUGUCCAUAGCGAGAAUUCUCUCAGCACGGAUCCACCACUAACCGUCCAGCAACAUGGCCACUCUUAGUCACCUCCGAAACCUCGUCCAGUGUGUAAAACUGAUUCAGAGAGCUGGACAAACACCCUUAUUAUGGUUUCCAGUAUGUCAUGGGAUUAGCAAGAGGACAUUGUUAUGUAACUUAACACAGAUAUUAGAUAUUUUUGUUAGGAAGCUUCUUGAAUAAUUUUAACAGGUUUGUGGAAAUAAAACACAAGUGGAUGUGCUAUUAUAGGAAAAUAAUCAGAGACAGGGUGGUGUGAUAUGGCCUGAUGUGAAGAGGAGUUAUUGUCGCCAACCCAAGGUUGAUUAUUUUUAAUUUGAACAUUAUCAUGUUACAGAAAUAACGUAAAGUCCUCUGUCCUGAAGAUUUUUUUGUUUUUUGUUUUGCAUCAAACCACUGACACUGGAGACUCCUUUCAAAAAAUGUAAAUGUCCCCUCACAGAAAACUUCUUAGUAACAGCACUCUGGUAUAAAUUAUAUUAUGUAUGUUUACAUAAAAAGAGUAGUAUUAGCAGGCGGCAUGGUGGCUAAGUGGUUAGCACGCUUGCCUCACACAUCAUGGUUGGGGAUUUCGAAUCCCCAAUCUCCCCACCCAGAGGUCCCCAGGAUAGGCUCCAGGCUCCCCUGUGACCCUGUGUAGGAUAAGUGCGAUGGAAAAUGGAUGGAUGGUGGUAUUACAUGUACUGGAAGCACAUUCCAUUUAAGACAUGAUGUGUUACAUUUCCUGUAAUUUAAUGGCUAAGUGGUGAAUGUAGCUGAAACAUGGUGAGUGAAUGUAAUUUGUUUUGUCCCACAGGCUGCAGACUCACUACACGGAUUAACAUAAUUUCUCACUCAGGAAAAUGUCAGCAAGCAUCUCAUCUGAGGUGGUGGUUCUGAUGCUAUUAUGCCUCAGGCUAGUUUUGCAUGCCUAUGACAUUUUUGGCUUCUUAAUAUCCCCAGACUCACUCCUGUUGGCUGUAAAAUGGACAUGUAAGACGCACAGACUCGUUGUGUUGUCGAUGGCAGCAUUGCGAACACUCAGUGUCAUAUGACUCAUGCCAAAUGUGUGAUUACAAAAGCUGGAUUAUUUAUUGGUAAAUUUACUCACGCUGCUUCGCUUUUGAUCUUCAACAUUAGGUGAGCCGGUCUCAUGUCAGCAAAGUCUCUGUGAAAUGGGUUGUGUCCCAUGUCAGAGAGUGAGAACUUUUAAACAGUAAAAAACCAUCUUAAAUCAUACGAUUUUAAUGGAUUACAUUUGCUGUGAAUUUGCAUCUAAUGCACUGCUGAGGUACUAACUAGGGCACUGCUUUCACAUGUGUAGUGUUUAGUCUGUUUCGAGUCGAACCCUCUGAGUGAGGUGGUCCCGCUUAGCUGAUCCGAAAGCUGUUUUUGAUAGUAGAUGAUCCUGAAACAAACCUUAAAUUUUCAAGGUCCUGCUCUUCAACCGCCUUCAAUUAAGACCAGAUAAAAAUAUACCUCUUAACUCAGCAGUACGGGUGUUAAAUAAAUAAAUAAAUAAAUAAAUAAAUAAAUAUCCUAGUUAAGCUUUUCUUCUCCUCCUUUUUUUUUUAAGAACAGCUUUUCCAUAAAAUAUCACGGUCAGUAUUUAUCAUGUCGUUGUUCUAAGAUGGAAAAGAGAGAGCAAGGAAAGGAGGCAAACUGAAAAACAAACUGUAGUAAUGCAAUGUGCGGUGCUACUUGGCCAAAAUAGACAAUUGAUUUAGUUUAUCUCUGGUCAGCAGUGCCAUGUUUUUCUGUGUUUUGAGAGCUGUCAUGUUUGAUAAAGCUAGCAGUGCGCUAGGAGCGGCAACAAAGGUAGCAAUGUAACGUGUUUAUAACAGUAAUGGAUUACAGCCAAAGGGUUUUCAGUGCCAUCCAAGUCCUCUGCACAGAGAAACAAAGGUUACUGUAGUGUGAGUCCAUAGGGAAGCAGUUGUGAAAUUUUUCAUGGAGUCUCAUCUGGACGCGAAAGGGAUGAAAACCACUGGAAUAAGGAACUUAUUGUGAGGUAACUGUGAAACCAUGACACUCUAACAACCCUACUCAACAGUAUUAUCUUCUCCGUAUGUGUUAAUUGCCUUGACAUGUGUCAAUCUUUUUCAUUGCCUUGAAUUGCAUGUAUCUUUCUGGUCACCUUUGUAAAGCUACCUUAAGCUUACAAAAGUGCUACAUUAAUGGUCAUUAUUAAUAAUAUUUUCUAGCCGGUUAGUAACUAGGCUAUACUCAGUGUCUUGUAAAAAAAAAAAAAAAAAUGUGUGAAAGCUAUAGAGAGACAUAGAAGGAAAGAGAAAGACACAGAAAGAUCCAGAGAGAUGAACAGAAGGAGCGAGGGGGAGGUCCUCACACUCAUCCACACACGUAUUUAUCAAACCACCUCUCCAGGCUUUUCUUGCGCCAGCAUCGUGCCGAACAUUUGGAUGUCGCCGGUGUCGUUAAUCAUCGCCGCCGAUUCGUUAUAACACGGCUGUCGCUCAGAGUGUUCAUGAAUUUAACCAGUGCCCAUCCUUUAUAUUUAUACGACAGCCACGGAGUGCCGAGGCAGACAGAACUGAAAUGAUGUGGGCGAGUCUCAGGCAGAAUGCUGAACACAAAGCACACAAGAUUUGGGCCAAGACGCGUCAUGUGACAUCAUCACAACGUGCAUUCAGCCAAAGUCCUCUUUGAUUUAUGUGCGUUGAACACAUGUACACAACUUAAUCACACUAUUAACGUCAUGUGGGAGUUUUCACUGCAGCCCUAAAGCACGAUCCCACCACCACCAUGCUCCACCGUGAGUAUAGCAGCCCUAAAGCACGAUCCCACCACCACCAUGCUCCACCGUGAGUAUAGCAGCCCUAAAGCACGAUCCCACCACCACCAUGCUCCACAGUGAGUAUAGCAGCCCUAAAGCAUGAUCCCACCACCACCACCAUGCUUCACCGUGAGUAUAGCAGCAUAAAGCACGAUCCCACCACCACCACCAUGCUUCACCGUGAGUAUAGCAGCCCUAAAGCAUGAUCCCACCACCACCACCAUGCUUCACCGUGAGUAUAGCAGCCCUAAAGCAUGAUCCCACCACCACCACCAUGCUUCACCGUGAGUAUAGCAGCCCUAAAGCACGAUCCCACCACCACCACCAUGCUUCACCGUGAGUAUAGCAGCAUAAAGCACGAUCCCACCACCACCACCAUGCUUCACCGUGAGUAUAGCAGCAUAAAGCACGAUCCCACCACCACCACCAUGCUUCACCGUGAGUAUAGCAGCCCUGAAGCACGAUCCCACCACCACCACCAUGCUUCACCGUGAGUAUAGCAGCAUAAAGCACGAUCCCACCACCACCAC